GAUGGUUCGAUUAGUCUUUCGCCCCUAUACCCAGUUCAUACGAUCGAUUUGCACGUCAGAAUCGCUACGGACCUCCAUCAGGGUUUCCCCUGACUUCAUCCUGACCAGGCAUAGUUCACCAUCUUUCGGGUCCCAGCGUGUAAGCUCUUGGUGCGCCGCAACUUGCAAUAAGUAUGCGACGCCCCGGGAAUGCGAGGUAACAUAAAUAACGUUACCCAUCUUCCCUUUAUAAAAUAUAAUUAUAAAAAUUAUAUAUAUAUAUUUACUUUCAUUACGCCUUUAGGUUUAAUAUAAAUACCCAAUGACUUGCGCACAUGCUAGAUG
rnacentral:rRNA from 1 species